UUUGGGAAUUGGCUUGUUGUUUAAAGCCCAUACGACCUUCAUACCGAAGCUGUUCUUCAUGGUCUCUUUCCAAUUGGUGUCCAAGUCUUACCAAAUCUUCGACAGUGUUCACACGACUGCGUAACUGACUUGCAAGUGCGGACACGUUCAGCCAGCUCAUCCUCAUAGUCCUCAGACAAAAAAGCAGAGAGAAAUGCAGACUCAAACUCCUUCCAAGUGUUUAUAUGGAAGCGACUUACUUCCCACCAGUCGCGUGCAGUGCCAUGCAACACUGUGCGGAAGGUAGCCAGGAGAUCUGCAUCAUUUAAAGGAUGUAGAGCCAGAAAAUCUUGACACUUGGUCAAGUACAACAGGGGGUCAGCAUCAUCAGUAGGACGCCCAAAACCUUGUCUUCCUUUAAGACUUGAACAUCAUGUUGCAGCUCAGCUACACCAGUACGACAUUUGUGAAUUUGUGUUUCACAUUGCUGAAGAUUGGUGGUUACCUGAUCAAGGCUACCCUGAAGUGCACGUUGCAUAGCUUUAAUAUCUUGUUGGAUCUCCACACGUAGCUGUUCUACCUUAUCCCGGACUACAGAACUUCCUCUUGUUGUUUACCUGCAGUCAUUAGUGUGACAACCUGUUGAUUGUUGGUCUCCACCUUAGCUGCAAGAUCAGUAAUCUGAUUUUCAUGGUGAGAAGAUGAGGUUUUCAGUACCCGGGGGUUGGAAGAUUUCCUGGCAGAUCAUGCUGAGCCAUUGAAGGAGAUGUAACAUCACCAGAUGUACACAGUUGCAUGCUGUCAUAUGAUGAGGCCC